rnacentral:antisense_RNA from 1 species
CUCUAUGGUAGCUUGGGCAGGGGCGACUUCGGUCGCGCCGGUUCCUCUUAGGCCGGUUACGCCAACCCUGUCCGAGUUGCCACCAUC